AGAGUUUGAUCCUGGCUCAGGACGAACGCUGGCGGCGUGCCUAAUACAUGCAAGUCGAGCGGACAGAAGGGAGCUUGCUCCCGGAUGUUAGCGGCGGACGGGUGAGUAACACGUGGGUAACCUGCCUGUAAGACUGGGAUAACUCCGGGAAACCGGAGCUAAUACCGGAUAGUUCCUUGAACCGCAUGGUUCAAGGAUGAAAGACGGUUUCGGCUGUCACUUACAGAUGGACCCGCGGCGCAUUAGCUAGUUGGUGAGGUAACGGCUCACCAAGGCGACGAUGCGUAGCCGACCUGAGAGGGUGAUCGGCCACACUGGGACUGAGACACGGCCCAGACUCCUACGGGAGGCAGCAGUAGGGAAUCUUCCGCAAUGGACGAAAGUCUGACAGAGCAACGCCGCGUGAGUGAUGAAGGUUUUCGGAUCGUAAAGCUCUGUUGUUAGGGAAGAACAAGUGCAAGAGUAACUGCUUGCACCUUGACGGUACCUAACCAGAAAGCCACGGCUAACUACGUGCCAGCAGCCGCGGUAAUACGUAGGUGGCAUGCGUUGUCCGGAAUUAUUGGGCGUAAAGGGCUCGCAGGCGGUUUCUUAAGUCUGAUGUGAAAGCCCCCGGCUCAACCGGGGAGGGUCAUUGGAAACUGGGAAACUUGAGUGCAGAAGAGGAGAGUGGAAUUCCACGUGUAGCGGUGAAAUGCGUAGAGAUGUGGAGGAACACCAGUGGCGAAGGCGACUCUCUGGUCUGUAACUGACGCUGAGGAGCGAAAGCGUGGGAGCGAACAGGAUUAGAUACCCUGGUA
rnacentral:rRNA from 1 species